UCGGAAUUACUGGGCGUAAAGCGCACGUAGGCGGCUUUGCAAGUUAGAGGUGAAAGCCCAGGGCUUAACCCUGGAAUUGCCUUUAAGACUGCAUCGCUAGAAUCGUGGAGAGGUGAGUGGAAUUCCGAGUGUAGAGGUGAAAUUCGUAGAUAUUCGGAAGAACACCAGUGGCGAAGGCGACUCACUGGACACGUAUUGACGCUGAGGUGCGAAAGCGUGGGGAGCAAACAGG
rnacentral:rRNA from 1 species